rnacentral:sRNA from 1 species
UUAUAGCCCUGAUAAUAGUGAAAAUCCUUUUCCUUUUUUCUUUAAAAAGGAAAAGAUUGCAACGAAUAGCAGGAAAUAGC